GAUAGCUCAGUCGGUAGAGCAUCAGAC
rnacentral:piRNA from 6 species